rnacentral:misc_RNA from 1 species
CCUCCGUCUCGAGGAGGAGAAAUCAGCAGCGGGCGCUCACAGCAAGUAGUUCAUGCAAAGUGUGGCUCGCGCAGGUGCAGAAGCGGCACGGAGCGGGCCUGUUGUGUUCGCUCCCUGAAAGUCGUAGCUGAGACGCAACCGCGCCACCCACCGCUUCUCCCCCUUUUGUUUUUCGUUUUCUUUUAUAUCGCGCCCCUCUCGUCAUUGGCGGCUUACUCGCUGUCACGCCUCUUCCACAUCCCCCCCUCCCCGCGCUGCAGUGAGCUACUGCAAUGCUGCAUCACAUAUUUAUUUUCAUGUUCUUCUUUUUCUGCGCCUCCGUUGUAUUUGCAAUCUUUCUCUGCACCGUCUCCAGCUGCAUGCUGAGAAGGAGCCACGAGGGGCAUGACGGAGAAGGCCGUGAAGUGACAGAAGCGGUGGGAUCAGGUAACAUGCUCGGUCAUAGCUACGGCAACCCCCGAGUGCGAUACGAGCCACAAUACCCGAACGGCUACUAUGGUGUGUACCAGCAGCACCACGGACGCCUUUACGGUCAUGAGCGGCCGUUGAUGGCAGUCGUGGCAGGUCAGCGGCCAUGCGACGGAAUGGUUUUAUCGGGCAAUCAGGGUAGCGCCACAUCAACCGGUCAAGAGCCAGUCGAGUACGGUGAAGCCGUCUAUCUGCCACGACCCGAUAGCGAUCUCACCAAAAAGCUUUCAACCGCAAAAAUGUGCGAGGGACGAUCGUGAUGUGUGCAAAUAGUGCCGACACUUUUAUGGGCCCUUUGCUUCUCAGCUUGUCUCUCGCCUUCUCUCUGUGUGUGCGUGUCUGUGCAAGCGUGAUACCUGGUCCUCUGCUGCUGGGUAUCUGCUUCUUUAGCGCGCGUGUUGCUGCUGGUGGUGAUGGUGUUGGUGUUGGUAAUCUCUUUUUAUUUUUUGCGUGUCGUUCCUCUCCUGUUAGAUCGGGCCUUUGUGUCUUGCAUGUCUAGCGUGCGCUAGCUGCCAUGCACCUCUCCACUGCUUAUGUGUUUCUCCUCUGUACCUGUUCUGCUGCUCUUGAUUAUCUUACCACUCACGCACGCGCACACACGUGCUCCUCCUCACAG